rnacentral:rRNA from 1 species
GCUAGCUACAGGCUUAACACAUGCAAGUCGAGGGGCAGCAUCAUCAAAGCUUGCUUUGAUGGAUGGCGACCGGCGCACGGGUGAGUAACACGUAUCCAACCUGCCGACAACACUGGGAUAGCCUUUCGAAAGAAAGAUUAAUACCGGAUGGCAUAAUUAUUCCGCAUGGGAUAAUUAUUAAAGAAUUUCGGUUGUCGAUGGGGAUGCGUUCCAUUAGGCAGUUGGCGGGGUAACGGCCCACCAAACCUACGAUGGAUAGGGGUUCUGAGAGGAAGGUCCCCCACAUUGGAACUGAGACACGGUCCAAACUCCUACGGGAGGCAGCAGUGAGGAAUAUUGGUCAAUGGACGAGAGUCUGAACCAGCCAAGUAGCGUGAAGGAUGACUGCCCUAUGGGUUGUAAACUUCUUUUAUACGGGAAUAAAGUGAGCCACGUGUGGCUUUUUGUAUGUACCGUAUGAAUAAGGAUCGGCUAACUCCGUGCCAGCAGCCGCGGUAAUACGGAGGAUCCGAGCGUUAUCCGGAUUUAUUGGGUUUAAAGGGAGCGUAGGCGGGUUGUUAAGUCAGUUGUGAAAGUUUGCGGCUCAACCGUAAAAUUGCAGUUGAUACUGGCGACCUUGAGUGCAACAGAGGUAGGCGGAAUUCGUGGUGUAGCGGUGGAAUGCUUAGAUAUCACGAAGAACUCCGAUUGCGAGGGGCAGCUUACUGGAUUGUAACUGACGCUGAUGCUCGAAAGUGUGGGUAUCAAACAGGAUUAGAUACCCUGGUAGUCCACACAGUAAACGAUGAAUACUCGCUGUUGGCGAUAUACAGUCAGCGGCCAAGCGAAAGCAUUAAGUAUUCCACCUGGGGAGUACGCCGGCAACGGUGAAACUCAAAGGAAUUGGCGGGGGCCCGCACAAGCGGAGGAACAUGUGGUUUAAUUCGAUGAUACGCGAGGAACCUUACCCGGGCUUAAAUUGCAACUGACGGAACCGGAAACGGUUCUUUCUUCGGACAGUUGUGAAGGUGCUGCAUGGUUGUCGUCAGCUCGUGCCGUGAGGUGUCGGCUUAAGUGCCAUAACGAGCGCAACCCUUACGGGUAGUUACCAUCAGGUUAUGCUGGGGACUCUACCCGGACUGCCGUCGUAAGAUGUGAGGAAGGUGGGGAUGACGUCAAAUCAGCACGGCCCUUACGUCCGGGGCUACACACGUGUUACAAUGGGGGGUACAGAAGGCAGCUACACGGCGACGUGGUGCUAAUCCCAAAAGCCUCUCUCAGUUCGGAUUGGAGUCUGCAACCCGACUCCAUGAAGCUGGAUUCGCUAGUAAUCGCGCAUCAGCCACGGCGCGGUGAAUACGUUCCCGGGCCUUGUACACACCGCCCGUCAAGCCAUGAAAGCCGGGGGUACCUGAAGUACGUAACCGCGAGGAGCGUCCUAGGGUAAAACUGGUG